CGUGUAGGCGGACUAGCAAGUCAGAGGUGAAAACCGCAGGCUUAACCUGCGGCCUGCCUUUGAAACUGCCAGUCUUGAGUACGGGAGAGGAAAGCGGAAUUCCAGGUGUAGCGGUGACAUGCGUAGAUAUCUGGAAGAACAUCGGUGGCGAAGGCGGCUUUCUGGACCGAUACUGACGCUGAGGCGCGAAAGCUAGGGGAGCAAACAGGAUUAGAUACCCUGGUAGUCC
rnacentral:rRNA from 1 species